rnacentral:rRNA from 1 species
CCCGCCGGCGACCGGCGCACGGGUGAGUAACACGUAUGCAACCUGGCCGCCACAGGGGGAUAACCCGCGGAAACGCGGCCUAAUACCCCGUGACGCCACCGGAGGGCAUCCUCCGGUGGCCAAAGGAGCGAUCCGGUGGCGGAUGGGCAUGCGGCGCAUUGCUAGACGGCGGGGUGACGGCCCACCGUGGCGACGAUGCGUAGGGGUUCUGAGAGGAAGGCCCCCCACACUGGGACUGAGACACGGCCCAGACUCCUACGGGAGGCAGCAG